GACGAACGCUGGCGGCGUGCUUAACACAUGCAAGUCGAACGGAAAGGCCCUGCUUUUGUGGGGUGCUCGAGUGGCGAACGGGUGAGUAACACGUGAGUAACCUGCCCUUGACUUCGGGAUAACUUCAGGAAACUGGGGCUAAUACCGGAUAGGAGCUCCUGCUGCAUGGUGGGGGUUGGAAAGUUUCGGCGGUUGGGGAUGGACUCGCGGCUUAUCAGCUUGUUGGUGGGGUAGUGGCUUACCAAGGCUUUGACGGGUAGCCGGCCUGAGAGGGUGACCGGCCACAUUAGGACUGAGAUACGGCCCAGACUCCUACGGGAGGCAGCAGUGGGGAAUAUUGCACAAUGGGCGGAGGCCUGAUGCAGCAACGCCGCGUGCGGGAUGACGGCCUUCGGGUUGUAAACCGCUUUCGCCUGUGACGAAGCGUGAGUGACGGUAAUGGGUAAAGAAGCACCGGCUAACUACGUG
rnacentral:rRNA from 1 species